GACGAACGCUGGCGGCGUGCUUAACACAUGCAAGUCGAACGGAAAGGCCCUGCUUUUGUGGGGUGCUCGAGUGGCGAACGGGUGAGUAACACGUGAGUAACCUGCCCUUGACUUUGGGAUAACUUCAGGAAACUGGGGCUAAUACCGGAUAGGAGCUCCUGCUGCAUGGUGGGGGUUGGAAAGUUUCGGCGGUUGGGGAUGGACUCGCGGCUUAUCAGCUUGUUGGUGGGGUAGUGGCUUACCAAGGCUUUGACGGGUAGCCGGCCUGAGAGGGUGACCGGCAACAUGGGGACUGAGUUACGGCCCGGACUCCUACGGGAGGCAGCAGUGGGGAAUAUGGAACAAGGGGCGGAAGCCUGAGGCGGCAACGCGGCGGGCGGGAUGACGGCCUUCGGGUUGAAAACCGCUUUCGCCUGUGACGAAGCGUGAGUGACGGAAAUGGGUAAAGAAGAACCGGCUAACUACGU
rnacentral:rRNA from 1 species